AUUGAACGCUAGCGGGAUGCUUUACACAUGCAAGUCGAACGAGUGGCGGACGGGUGAGUAAUAUAUCGGCACGUGCCCAGUAGAGGGGGAUAACUACGCGAAAGAGUUGCUAAUCCCGCAUACUAUUGGAGCGGCCGAUAUCGGAUUAGCUAGGUGGGGGGGUAAAGGCUCACCAAGGACACGAUCCGUAGCGGGUGUGAGAGGACGACCAGCCACACUGGAACUGAGACACGGCCCAGACUCCUACGGGAGGCAGCAGUGGGGAAUUUUGGACAAUGGGGGAAAGCCUGAUCCAGCCAUGCCGCGUGUAUGAGAAGGCCUUCGGGUUGUAAAGUACUUUUGGCAGAGAAGCGGUAUCUGCAGAAUAAGCACCGGCUAACUACGUGCCAGCCGCCGCGGUAAUAC
rnacentral:rRNA from 1 species